GCUCCCCUGGUGCAGUUGGUUAGCAUUUGGGCCUCCGGAGCUCAGGGUCGCGGGUUCGAGUCCCGCGGGGAGCU